CUUUGAGCUGUGCUGAGCCUAACCAGGAGUACGUCAGACGUUUGCCGGUUUCUACAGAGAUGGACUCAAGCUGCAGUGUUCAGAUCCGAAUCGUGGAAAUUUUGGCAGAAAACCAACAACAAAAAGGGAAAACUGUUGUGAAACUAAGCAAAAAAAAUAAAAGAAAAAAGAAAAGAAAAGCCCUUGGCUUUGAUUGGAAGGGUUUGAAGAUGAAUGGUGGUGCCCAGCACACGUGGGAAUCUAAUUGGUCAGGAUGAGAAAUACAGCCAGACGUCUUACAAGUGGGCCAGGGAAGACAGAAAAAUAUUUGCAGCUGCAAGCCAUUAAAGGCAAACCCAGCAUUGCUCUUACA